GAUGAACGCUGGCGGCGUGCCUAAUACAUGCAAGUCGAGCGAACAGACGAGGAGCUUGCUCCUCUGACGUUAGCGGCGGAAGGGUGAGUAAAACGUGGAUAACCUACCUAUAAGACUGGGAUAACUUCGGGAAACCGGUGCUAAUACCGGAUAAUAUAUUGAACCGCAUGGUUCAAUAGUGAAAGACGGUUUUGCUGUAACUUAUAGAUGGAUCCGCGCCGCAUUAGCUAGUUGGUAAGGUAACGGCUUACCAAGGCAACGCUGCGUAGCCGACCGGAGAGGGGGAUCGGCCACACUGGAACUGAGACACGGUCCAGACUCCUACGGGAGGCAGCAGUAGGGAAUCGUCCGCAAUGGGCGGAAGCCUGACGGAGCAGCGCCGCGUGAGUGAUGAAGGUCUUCGGAUCGUAUAACUCUGUUAUUAGGGAAGAACAAAUGUGUAAGUAACUAUGCACGUCUUGACGGUACCUAAUCAGAAAGCCACGGCUAACUACGUG
rnacentral:rRNA from 1 species